rnacentral:misc_RNA from 1 species
ACAAACUUGGUCAUUUAGAGGAAGUAAAAGUCGUAACAAGGUCUCCGUUGGUGAACCAGCGGAGGGAUCAUUAUCAGAGUGUUAAAACUCCCUAAACCUUUGUGAACAUACCUAUUGUUGCUUCGGCGGGUGCUGUCGUACCCGCCGAAGGUAUCAAACUCUUCUGUUUUGUGAAUCUCUGAGUCACACAAGCAAAUAAUCAAAACUUUCAACAACGGAUCUCUUGGUUCUGGCAUCGAUGAAGAACGCAGC